ACAGAGGUGGCAAGCGUUGUUCGGAAUCACUGGGCAUAAAGGGCGCGUAGGCGGCGAUACAAGUCAGGUGUGAAAGCCCUCAGCUUAACUGGGGAGUUGCGCCUGAAACUAUGUUGCUUGAGUGUAGGAGGGGAGAGUGGAACUCCUAGUGGAGCGGUGAAAUGCGUAGAGAUUAGGAGGAACGCCGGUGGCGAAAGCGACUCUCUGGCCUACUGCUGACGCUGAUGCGCGAAAGCUAGGGGAGCAAACGGGA
rnacentral:rRNA from 1 species